UUCAGAAAAUUCCUUUAAAAAAAAGAAGUAUAUCUUGUUGUUUCACAAUUCCUAAAGAAUGUUAAUACAAAAUAAUUCGAAAUCUGACAUAAAAAUUCUGACAAAUAAAAUAUUGGUAAAAAAAAAUGUCCAAUUGAUAAAAAAUAUGUAUAAUAAUUAUUUCAAUUUUUACAAAUUCUUGAAUUUUGAAUUCGAGGCUCAGACUGUGCCACUAAAUCUCUAGUGUAGCUAUAACCUCAUCUCUAGGCUAAUGGCUAAAAAUGGACUAAUUUUAUCAAAUCUCUACAAACAUGUGCCAAAGAAAAUCUAAGUCCAGCACCAGCCUGAAAUUAAGAUUGAGCAGAGUGAUAUCUCUACAAUUUGGAUUGAACAGUUCUAUGGAGGGUUUAAGUAUAUUAAAAAUAAUUAAUGGCAUAUAUAAUAUAUUACUUGAGAAAAUUCAUAAUUGAAAUAUCGAUCAAAAAACAUUUGGUAGAUUUUUCAUAUAUAUUAUA